rnacentral:rRNA from 1 species
UACGGGGGGGGCAAGCGUUGUUCGGAAUUACUGGGCGUAAAGGGCUCGUAGGCGGCCAACUAAGUCAUACGUGAAAUCCCUCGGCUUAACCGGGGAACUGCGUGUGAUACUGGAAGGCUUGAAUCCGGGAGAGGGAUGCGGAAUUCCAGGUGUAGCGGUGAAAUGCGUAGAUAUCUGGAGGAACACCGGUGGCGAAGGCGGCAUCCUGGACCGGCAUUGACGCUGAGGCGCGAAAGCCAGGGGAGCAAACGGG